rnacentral:lncRNA from 1 species
AAAAAGGGCCUAAAACGCUCUGCAGAAGGGAAGAGAGAGGUCCUCGGCUCUGGCCUCCGGCUACAGUGCAGUGCUUGCAGACGCGCCUCACGCGCCGCCGUACGCGGUGUCUGAAGGUUCAAAACCUUCGUCCUUCCACAGGUAACCUCUUUUCUUUUAAUCGUUACUGUUUUUUUUAAAACAAGAACGAUUCAUAAAUUCGUAAAAGAGAAAAGAAAAUAAAGUAUGGAAAAUAAUCACCUUCUGAAAUAUUAUUGCAAAUGUUUGGUGUACAAUGCUUUUUGUGGUGUGUUUUUCUCUAUUUCUCUGUGUAUUAGUGUGUCUUUUUACAGAUUUGAGAAAACGCUUUAUAGCCUUGAUUUACUGCCUAUUUUGGAAAGAAAUGGAAAGAUUUCUUUCCAAACUCUGUUCUAAUCUAUUUACUGCAAUCUUGCUUUGAUUUCUUUCCUUUUCUUGCAGGUGACCGCGAGAAUCUCGAGGGCUGCUGGCGUUGAUGGAGGCCUGAAGUCUGGUGGUGAGGAUUCGUGGUGACGGUGAGGCGCUGAUUACGGAGGCAGAGCCUUGAAUGGUGGCCUCGAUUCGGGAGCUGGACAGACGCUCCCUGAACCUUCUAGAAUCAGUAGCGGCUCGAGGAGAAGGAGAGCUAGGGUUUCUAACCCUAUCUGAAAGUCAUUUGGGCCCCUACUAUUUGGGCCUUCGGGUUUGGGUCUGCAGUAGGUUAAGUUUGGGUUUGUAAGUUAUUUGGGUUAAGGUUGUAGCUGGUAUAGGGUAAUAGGUCUAAGGUAUUUGGGCUUAACAGGCCUUGGCUGUAAAUGAACUGUGGACUGUUAAAUAAAUAAAUAUUUAUUUAUUUA